GCGCUAGCCCAGCCUGGUCCCGCAGUCCCCGGGCUGCUCCCAGGCCCAGCAGCAGUUGAGCUACCUCCACCGCCCCUUCUCGGGCCGCGAGGAACAGGGGCGUCUGCUCCUAUGCCGGAAGAAAUAGCCAGGGGGGCGAGGGAACCAGCUCCCGGUCUAACCCUGCUGUCUUGGGCGUCUUUAUCGGCUCCGGCCUGGAGAAGGGAGCGGGCGGCCCGGGCGUUGUUCACGGCGGCGGCCCAGUGCAGCGCGGUUUUUCCUAGAAGACGACGUGGGUGGUUGUUACUCUGAGGAAAGAGUCCCCUUCUUGAGUCCCUUUCCUCCUCACUCUUACUUGAGGCCAAUGCUGUCUUCACCCAGGGGAGGCCGGCGUCUGCGGGGAGCUGGCUGAGUUCGAGGCCUUCUAAUGAACCCAGGGGGCAGCCAGAGGGCCCCGUGCUCUCGGCGCCGCCUCCGGAUGAGCUGAAGGACGAGAAGAGCCCCAAGGGCCAGGAGAAGCACCCCGGCCACUGAAAAGGCAAACGAUUCCUGGAAAUACUGAGUGACUUGCACAAGUUGGUGGCAGAGCUUGGAUUCAGUAAUGAAAUCUCCGUGAGAACAGACGUGCUCGUGCGCCUGGGUGGCUCAGUCAGUUAAGCGGUUAAGCGUCUGCCUUCAGCUCGGGUCAUGAUCCUGUCCUGGGAUUGAGGCCUGUGUUGGGCUCCACCCGCGUUGGGCUCCCUGCUCAGUGGGGAG